UGAUUGGUGGGUUAUGCCCUGGCCGGGAAGUUUGAACGGAAGUCUGGGGAAAAGCCUGAGAAGAGCAGAGGAGAGGGAAUGAGCCGAAUCCCCUGCAAAAGGGGUAACAGUUGUGAUACCAGCGCUGCAGCAGGGGCUGCCCGAAGGUCGCUUCCAGUAAUGGGGUAGAGAGUUUGGAGUAAACCAUGCUCCCCUUUCGCUAGGCUCAAUUUUCAGGUGUUUUUUUGGUGUGUUUUAAUAAGCUUCUACUAAAACUGGACAUUGAGAGGAAUGAACUUCACAUGAGUGCUGCAGUGAACACUGGAGUGAACAUUGGAACAUUGGAGUAUCCCAAUGCACUGAUCCACAUAGCAGUUUGGAAUCUCUUAUCUGGUCUUCCUGUGAGUGUAAAUAUAUACUAUAUAGUUAGUAUUGAUAAUGAUGAAAAAGUCUGACCAUAUCAAGUAUUGGAAAGAUGAAGAUCUCUUUGCUUGAGGGAAUGCAAAGUGAUGGAAUCCUUUGAGACACAGUUUGACAGACCUCACAACUCAAUGAUUCUAUUCCUAGGGGCAGAAGAGAGGAUGUAGGCAAGGCAGAGUGGCAUAGUUUCUUCCCAACCCUACAAUCAGAAACGGGCUGGCACGCAGGGGAACACAACCACAGGCUGAGUAUUGCAUCACUGAAGCUUUUGGCACCACUUGUAUUUUGGCACCACUCAAGCAGCACUGGGCUCUGGGUUCAAGUGGUCUGCGGAGCAACGCCUGAGCGCAGCCUCCCCCUUUGACCUGCCUCAACUCUGAUGGGCCGAGAACAAGAACUGUUUUCUCUCUGCUUGCUAAAACGAAAAUGAAGAAUUUAGAAAAGUGUCCUUUCGUCUCACGGGGAAGCUAUGGGAGUGUUCGGAAGCAGUUGUCAUUGAUGGAAGUGACACUGGGACUUUGGGCUGUUCUCCCUUCCCAGUACUUACUUGUUUCUGGACAGAAUCCACCAUGAGCAAAACAACUAAUGCCCAGAAUGUGGAUUUACAGCAGAAGAAAUGAGGAAUCAAAGUAACACAUUCACCCAAAAAGUAUGAAAAUGUCCCUCCGAAGCAUGCUAAGUUAAACAAAAAUGAGAUGUUUAAUAUACGUAAUUGUAAAUGUGAUGUACACUCUUUUAAAACAGGGCAGAAUUACACGUGAUAAACUAACACCGAGGGUACUUUUCCAUUCCUGAAGACAGCAAAAGACUUUCAAUCUCAGUGCUAAACUUCUCAUCAGCCUUGCUGCUAUCCGUCUCCUUGUCUUUUUCAAAAAGAUAUGCUUACAGACCUCAGGCGGGGGCAGAGGCUGCCCCCCUUCUAAAAGAACCCUGGGCUCUGCUUUCUGUCGAUUUGUGUUUGACAUGACUGCAGUGGAGAAAAGGGCAAGGCUUACUGAGUAACUCUGUGUUGAUGCUUUCAGAGGCCUUAUCUUACUUGAUGCCCCAGCAGUCCUGGAAGGGAGAGUGAUUCUCACAAAGAGGAUUAGGAGAUAUGGCGAGGAAGAUUUAGUCCUGGCAGAUGCUACAGCUAUAAUCAUGAAGCCCCUGUCUUCUCUGGAGGGAUAUGAGAAGACUAGGUGUAAUGUUACUACUCUGUCUUUUGUUUUAGCAAGUUAUCGCAUGGGAUUGUUGGAGAGGUGAAAAAUAAGGGCUUCACUUCUAUUGUCCUCCGUGGAAAGAAACUUUGGAUACUUAGGUACUUUUUGGAAACUGGAAGUGAAAGCUAUGGGCAAUAAGAAUUUCUAGAAAGAAGAGAAGGUAGGGAUGUUGAUCUGGUUAAAGAGCUCUCAAAAUUAUCUGCUGACAUUAGAUAACAGACAUUAACAUGCAUAUAAAUCUAUUUUAUACAUUUUCUAUGCAGAUUCAAUAGGAAAAAAACCCUCAAAUAUAUAUUUAAUUCCUUAGGGUCCCAAAGCACUUUGAGGAUUUAAACUGAUAAACCAACCUCAAAGGGACUGAUUCUUGCAACUAAAACACAGACACCUCUGGGGUGAAAUGUGGCAACAGUUUGACAGGCAUAGCAGUAGCUUAGGCCAGAAAGGAUUUAUCCAAUUAAAAUUAUGGGAUGAAUUUUGGCUGGCAGAAUGUAAUUACCAGCCUUGGAAAGGAUCCAGGAUCCUGAGGUUAACACCCCUCCUCUUGCCAACAACCCUCCUACCUGCCAACACUCUGAGAUGGAGA